UACGGGGGGAGCAAGCGUUGUUCGGAUUUACUGGGCGUAAAGGGCGCGUAGGCGGCCACCGCAAGUCGACUGUGAAAUCUCCGGGCUUAACCCGGAAAGGUCAGCCGAUACUGCGGGGCUAGAGUGCAGAAGGGGCAACUGGAAUUCUCGGUGUAGCGGUGAAAUGCGUAGAUAUCGAGAGGAACACCUGCGGCGAAGGCGGGUUGCUGGGCUGACACUGACGCUGAGGCGCGAAAGCUAGGGGAGCGAACGGG
rnacentral:ncRNA from 6 species